rnacentral:lncRNA from 1 species
GAAUCCCCUAACUAUGUCUGUUGCAACAAGCUCAUCAAUUGAUCAUACUGGUGUCUGCUCAACUCUGGUAUCACAGAGCUGUGACCAUCUAUGUGUGUAACAUGUUGAUGGCUGGCAGGAGGAUCCCCAAGAGGAACAGACAAAUUAGGAUUUCCAUGGUUAACACACACAUUACUCACCAGAGGAGACAUGAGCAGCUACAGAUUUUCUUCCCUUGUUGUAGUUUAUGUUUUGAGGAAACCCAUGGAUCUUGUAGCACUUAUCAAUUAAGUGCCCAGAUUUCUUGCAGUAUCUGCAAAAUAAGGGUCCUCUGCUUUGCUUAAUAUUAACUAUGGGUCUGAAAAUAGGGGGUCUAGGCACUGUGGCCUGAUUAAACCCAGCUGAGUGCUUGUUUGCAUGAGCAUUAAAAGACAUAGAGUCUGGACUGAUUUGAGAAAUGGAUUGAACUUGUCUUUGUUUCUCAUCAUUAAGCACUAUGUUGUGUUAACUCUGGGUCUGAAAAUAGGAGGUCUAGGCACUGUGGCCUGAUUAAACCCAGCUGAGUGCUUGUUUGCAUGAGCAAUAAAAGACAUAAUGUCUGGACUGAUUUGAGAAACAGGUUGAACUUGUCUCUGUUUCUCAUCAUUAAGCACUAUGUUGUAAACACUGUCAAGGGAAGGAAAGAAAUAGAUUGAACUUGUCUCUGUUUCUCAUCAUUAAGCACUAUAUUGUAGACACUGUCAAGGGAAGGAAAUGGCUGCAUCAUCAACAAGUUACUCCUAACUCCCAUGUAUGCUUCAUUUAACCCCAUAAGAAACUGGAAUACCUUGUUUUCAUCAUCUUCCUCAAUUAUUCCAUUUUUAGCAGCACACACAUCUCUGCCCAUGAUUGCACAUUGUGCCCAAUUCAUCCCACAAGCCUUUGAGCUUGUUAAAAUAUGAGGCCACGUCUAAGGAGCCUUGAGAUGUGAGGAAAGUUCCCUUUUUAAUUCAAAAAUUUUGGUCUUGUUAAGGGUACCAUAUUUUUUCUCAAUUUGGAACCAUAUACUCUGUGCAGUAUCAGAAUACUGCACACUAUCAGCAAUUUGAGGAGACAGAGAGGAGGUCAACCAGGAAAUGACCAUGUUAUUACAUCUGUCCCACAGUCUCUGUUGAGCCACAUUAAUGGCAGGACGAGGACACGAACCGUCAACAAAACCGAUUUUAUUUUUAGCGGAGAAGCCAACAAUCAUCUUACGCCUCCAGCCCCCAUAACCACUACCCGAGAAGGGAGUGGGAACAAGAGAAACCCCAGGGACAUCAGAAGAAUAUACAAAAAGGGGGCUAGAAGAGUCUACAGAGGAGGAGGUACCAGCAUUUGUGUUAGAAGCCAUAAUCAAUGAACCGGCUAAAAAAAUAGUUUUUCAACAAACAGAGUAUAACCAAAUCAGGUAUUCACACACAACACCAGAUACUCACAUAUAGAGUCAGAUAAUCAAAAGCGGUUUUAUUUUUAGCGGAGAAGGCAACAAUCAUCUUACGCCUCCAGCCCCCAUAACCACUACCCGAGAAGGGAGUGGGAACAAGAGAAACCCCAGGGACAUCAGAAGAAUAUACAAAAAGGGGGCUAAAAGAGUCUACAGAGGAGGAGUACCAGCAUUUGUGUUAGAAGCCAUAAUCAAUGAACCGGCUAAAAAAAUAGUUUUUCAACAAACAAAGUAUAACCAAAUCAGGUAUUCACACACAACACCAGAUACUCACAUACAGAGUCAGAUAAUCACACACAAUACUCAAGAUAAGGACAGAGUUACCCUCCUUCUUCGCCACCGGAGAAGAUCGGCCUUCAAACAACAAAGAAAACCCUAGGUACAAAACCCUAGGUGUAACUGUCAAAAUCCUUACUGGAAAUGUGGUCAGGGAUGUCAGAAAGGCACCCAAAACAUCCACGGAGUGAGAAUCGAGCCACCGGAUAGCAGUAAAACUCUAGGUUAAACCACCAGAAACCCUAGAACAGGGAUGUCGGAAAGGCACCCAAAACAUCCACUGAGUGAGAAUCGAGCCACCGGAUAGCAGUAAAACUCUAGGAUAAACCACCAGAAACCCUAGAAGCCGAUAGGUCACCGGAAAAUCAACCAAAAAUCAGCAGAAAAUCUCCCAGAAUGUUCGAGUGAAGAAAAUACACUCAGAUAUCAUGAUGAAAAACUCGGAAAGGCAUCCGAUCUAGGUCGGAAUCAUCAUCGACCACAAGGUCUCAGAAAAAUCUCCAAAAAUCUCAAAGAAGAGUUCAACCAAGACAACUAGAUGCAGAGAAACAUAGUCGGAUCGUCGUCUAGGCUCUGAUACCAUGUGAACAUUGAGAUUAAACAGAAAGAAUGUAGAGAGAGAAACUAGAGAGAAGGAGGAGCGUUUGAGAGAAGACUCUGGAAGCCAGAGGAUUUUAUUAGACAGAAAACAAAAUGAAA